UGUUAGCAGUAAAGGCUUAGAAAAUAUAAAAAUGUAAAAUAUUCCAAUUAGGCGAGAGUUUCCUUUGGCGUAAUCUUUGCGGGUAUAAAAAUUUAAUUAUUGUGGAUGGCUCUUAUCAAGAAGGAGUCAAUUUAGAGUACUUCUGUACGAUUAUUCCGAGUUGAUUUAGCUGUCCUUCUGUUUGUCUGUUCGUACAGGGGUUUUGGCACUCGCAAUUUGCGAAUUUACAUUACGAGUAAACAUUAAGUUCCCACUUACCUGUUAUCAUUGCCAUGUAGGAUUUCAUGAAUUUUUUUUCGAUUGAAAAGUUUUCUAAGCCUUUAAAUAAAUAUCGAAAAAAGUUGUGAACAAAGUGAACCUUAACCCGUGAAGCAACAUUGUUAAAGGCAAAGCGUCGCGACUAAUAACUCAGUGGUCGCGCGUCCAAAUAUCAAGUGCUACAGGCGACCAUACAACAUAACCAGGAUACCUUCACACGCGGGAGGAGGCUAAGAUCACGAAGAAAAGACAG